AGUCAAUAGAUACCCGGUAGUCCACGCCGUAAACGAUGUCGACUUGGAGGUUGUGCCCUUGAGGCGUGGCUUCCGGAGCUAAACGCGUUAAAGUCGACCGCCUGGGGAGUACGGCCGCAAGGUUAAAACUCAAAUGAAUUGACGGGGGGCCCGCACAAGCGGUGGAGCAUGUGGUUUAAUUCGAUGCAACGCGAAGAACCUUACCUACUCUUGACAUCCAGAGAACUUAGCAGAGAUGCUUUGGUGCCUUCGGGAACUCUGAGACAGGUGCUGCAUGGCUGUCGUCAGCUCGUGUUGUGAAAUGUUGGGUUAAAGUCCCGCAACGAGCGCAACCCUUAUCCUUUGUUGCCAGCGGUUAGGCCGGGAACUCAAAGGAGACUGCCAGUGAUAAACUGGAGGAAGGUGGGGAUGACGUCAAGUCAUCAUGGCCCUUACGAGUAGGGCUACACACGUGCUACAAUGGCGCAUACAAAGAGAAGCGACCUCGCGAGAGCAAGCGGACCUCAUAAAGUGCGUCGUAGUCCGG
rnacentral:rRNA from 1 species